UACGUAGGGUGCGAGCGUUGUCCGGAAUUAUUGGGCGUAAAGGGCUCGUAGGCGGUCUGUUGCGUCGGGAGUGAAAACUUACAGCUUAACUGUGAGCGUGCUUUCGAUACGGGCAGACUUGAGGCAUUCAGGGGAGAACGGAAUUCCUGGUGUAGCGGUGAAAUGCGCAGAUAUCAGGAGGAACACCGGUGGCGAAGGCGGUUCUCUGGGGAAUGUCCUGA
rnacentral:rRNA from 1 species